rnacentral:rRNA from 1 species
UGGGGAAUAUUGGACAAUGGGCGCAAGCCUGAUCCAGCAAUACCGCGUGUGUGAAGAAGGCCUUAGGGUUGUAAAGCACUUUCAAUUGGGAAGAAAAGCACUUGGUUAAUACCCGGGUGUCCUGACGGUACCUUUAGAAGAAGCACCGGCUAACUCCGUGCCAGCAGCCGCGGUAAUACGGAGGGUGCAAGCGUUAAUCGGAAUCACUGGGCGUAAAGCGCACGCAGGCGGCCUGUUAAGUCAGAUGUGAAAGCCCCGGGCUCAACCUGGGAACUGCAUUUGAUACUGGCAGGCUAGAGUAUGGGAGAGAGAAGUGGAAUUCCACAUGUAGCGGUGAAAUGCGUAGAUAUGUGGAGGAACAUCAGUGGCGAAGGCGACUUCUUGGCCCAAUACUGACGCUCAGGUGCGAAAGCGUGGGGAGCAAACAGGAUUAGAUACCCCCGUAGUCC